AUCCAGUUGACGAGCUCAAAAUAGGAUGAAACGUACGUCCUGGAU
rfam:Schistosoma mansoni strain Puerto Rico chromosome 1, complete genome